UUAAAAUUUAAUUUUAGUUAAAAAUUUAUGUGAAUUUUUAAUUUACAUACGAAAAUUUUUAAAAACUUAAUUUUUGUAGUAUAUGAUUUUGAGUAUAUAGGGAGCUUUGACUUAGUAAUAAAUUUAAGUAUUAACAAAAUUUGUGCCAGCAGUUGCGGUUAUACAGAUAAUACAAUAUAAAAUUUUUGGUUGUAAUAAUUUUUUUUUAAAAAAUAUUUAAUGUAAAUUUUUAUUUAUUAGGUGAAAUUUUAAAUAUUAAAAAUAUUAUUUUUUGUAAAAUGAAUUUAAAAAAUUAAAAUUUUAAACUAGGAUUAGAUACCCUAUUAUUUUUAAUGUAAAUUUUUUACCUAAUAAUUAAUAGUUAUGUUCUUUAAAGUUAAAAAAUUUGGCGGUAUUUUAGUCUUUUCAGAGGAACCUGUCCUAUAAUUGAUAAUCCACGUUUAAAAUAACUUUAAUUAGAAAUUUAUAUAUCAUUGUUAUUGAAAAUUUUAAAAGAAUAAAAAUUUUCAAAAUUUAUAAAAUAGAAUAGAUCAGAUCAAGGUGUAGUUUAUAUUAAAGGAGAGAUGGGUUACAAUAAAUUUAAUUUUUGGAAUUUAAAUUUUAAAUUUAAAGGAAAUUGGAUUUGAAUGUAAUUAAUUUAAUUUAAUUUUAAUGAUUUAGCUCUAAAAUAUGUACAUAUCGCCCGUCGCUUUCAUUAUAAAAUGAAAUAAGUCGUAACAAAGUAGAUUUACUGGAAAGUGAAUCUAGAAGUUC
rnacentral:ncRNA from 1 species